rnacentral:misc_RNA from 1 species
UUAAUAUCACCCGGAUCACUGCCUGUCUAUCAGGUGGAGUUCCGGGAGGAGUUGGAUGGUGCUGCAUUUUUCUUGCGGCUCCUCUUGAAAUGCAUUGGUGUCCCCUGUUUUUGGGCCCUGUGCUGGUGUGUAGUCAUCUGCAUCGCCAGUGGCCCUUGCUCUGUGGGUGAUGCUCGCAUAACUGCGUCGAGAGUCGCAGUUGCCUUUUUUG